GAUGAACGCUGGCGGCGUGCCUAAUACAUGCAAGUCGAGCGAACAGACGAGGAGCUUGCUUCUCUGACGUUAGCGGCGGACGGGUGAGUAACACGUGGAUAACCUACCUAUAAGACUGGGAUAACUUCGGGAAACCGGAGCUAAUACCGGAUAAUAUAUUGAACCGCAUGGUUCAAUAGUGAAAGACGGUUUUGCUGUCACUUAUAGAUGGAUCCGCGCCGCAUUAGCUAGUUGGUAAGGUAACGGCUUACCAAGGCAACGAUGCGUAGCCGACCUGAGAGGGUGAUCGGCCACACUGGAACUGAGACACGGUCCAGACUCCUACGGGAGGCAGCAGUAGGGAAUCUUCCGCAAUGGGCGAAAGCCUGACGGAGCAACGCCGUGUGAGUGAUGAAGGUCUUCGGAUCGUAAGACUCUGUUAUUAGGGAAGAACAAAUGUGUAAGUAACUAUGCACGUCUUGACGGUACCUAAUCAGAAAGCCACGGCUAACUACGUG
rnacentral:rRNA from 1 species